ACGGGUGAGUAAUAUAUCGGAACGUGCCCAGUUGUGGGGGAUAGCCCGGCGAAAGCCGGAUUAAUACCGCAUACGACCUGAGGGUGAAAGCGGGGGAUCGCAAGACCUCGCGCAAUUGGAGCGGCCGAUAUCAGAUUAGCUAGUUGGUGGGGUAAAGGCCUACCAAGGCGACGAUCUGUAGCUGGUCUGAGAGGACGACCAGCCACACUGGGACUGAGACACGGCCCAGACUCCUACGGGAGGCAGCAGUGGGGAAUUUUGGACAAUGGGCGCAAGCCUGAUCCAGCCAUGCCGCGUGCGGGAAGAAGGCCUUCGGGUUGUAAACCGCUUUUGUCAGGGAAGAAACGGUCUGAACUAAUACUUUGGACUAAUGACGGUACCUGAAGAAUAAGCACCGGCUAACUACGUGCCAGCAGCCGCGGUAAUACGUAGGGUGCAAGCGUUAAUCGGAAUUACUGGGCGUAAAGCGUGCGCAGGCGGCUAUGCAAGACAGAUGUGAAAUCCCCGGGCUCAACCUGGGAACUGCAUUUGUGACUGCAUGGCUAGAGUACGGUAGAGGGGGAUGGAAUUCCGCGUGUAGCAGUG
rnacentral:rRNA from 4 species